rnacentral:rRNA from 1 species
ACUCAAAUGAAUUGACGGGGGCCCGCACAAGCGGUGGAGUAUGUGGUUUAAUUCGAAGCAACGCGAAAAACCUUACCUGGCCUUGACAUCCCUUGAUAGCCGUAGAGAUACGGUUUCGGCUUCGGUCGCAGGGAGACAGGUGCUGCAUGGCUGUCGUCAGCUCGUGUUGUGAAAUGUUGGGUUAAGUCCCGCAACGAGCGCAACCCCUGUCCUUAGUUACCAUCAUUAAGUUGGGGACUCUAGGGAGACUGCCGGUGUUAAACCGGAGGAAGGCGGGGAUGACGUCAAGUCCUCAUGGCCCUUACGGCCAGGGCUACACACGUACUACAAUGGCGAAAACAAACCGUUGCGAAACCGCGAGGUGGAGCUAAUCGGAAAAACAUCGUCCCAGUCCGGAUUGAAGUCUGCAACUCGACUUCAUGAAGUUGGAAUCGCUAGUAAUCGCAGAUCAGCACGCUGCGGUGAAUACGUUCCCGGGCCUUGUACACACCGCCCGU